AGAACGAACGCUGGCGGCAUGCCUAACACAUGCAAGUCGAACGAGACCUUCGGGUCUAGUGGCGCACGGGUGCGUAACGCGUGGGAAUCUACCCUUGGGUUCGGAAUAACAGUUGGAAACGACUGCUAAUACCGGAUGAUGACGUUAAGUCCAAAGAUUUAUCGCCCAGGGAUGAGCCCGCGUAGGAUUAGCUAGUUGGUGAGGUAAAGGCUCACCAAGGCGACGAUCCUUAGCUGGUCUGAGAGGAUGAUCAGCCACACUGGGACUGAGACACGGCCCAGACUCCUACGGGAGGCAGCAGUGGGGAAUAUUGGACAAUGGGCGAAAGCCUGAUCCAGCAAUGCCGCGUGAGUGAUGAAGGCCUUAGGUUGUAAAGCUCUUUUAACCGGGAAGAUAAUGACUGUACCGGAGAAUAAGCUCCGCUAACUCCGUGCCAGCAGCCGC
rnacentral:rRNA from 1 species